rnacentral:rRNA from 1 species
AUUGAACGCUGGCGGCAGGCCUAACACAUGCAAGUCGAGCGGAUGAGGAAAGCUUGCUUUUCGAUUCAGCGGCGGACGGGUGAGUAAUGCCUAGGAAUCUGCCUGAGGGUGGGGGAUAACCCGGGGAAACUCGGGCUAAUACCGCAUGAAACCGAGAGGUCAAAGGGGGCUCGCAAGGGCUCUCGCCUGCAGAGGGGUCCGCGUCCGAUUAGCUAGUUGGCAGGGUAAAGGCCGACCAAGGCGACGAUCGGUAGCCGGCCUGAGAGGGUGAUCGGCAACACUUGAACUGAGACACGGUCCAGACUCCUACGGGAGGCAGCAGUGGGGAAUUUUGCGCAAUGGGCGAAAGCCUGACGCAGCAACGCCGCGUGGAGGAUGAAGGUCUUCGGAUUGUAAACUCCUGUCAGUGGGGAAAAAGGGGAACGUGCUCAUACCACGUUUCAUUGAUUGUACCCGCAGAGGAAGCCCCGGCUAACUCUGUGCCAGCCGCCGCCGUAAGAC